GCCGAAGUGGCGGAAUGGCAGACGCGAAGGUCUCAAACACCUUUGGGAUUAAACCCGUGUGGGUUCGACUCCCACCUUCGGCACCA
rnacentral:tRNA from 3 species